UGGGGAAUUUUGCACAAUGGGGGCAACCCUGAUGCAGCGACGCCGCGUGAUUUAGAAGGCCUUCGGGUUGUAAAAAUCUUUUGUAUGGGAAGAAAAUGACAGUACCAUACGAAUAAGGACAGGCUAAUUACGUGCCAGCAGCCGCGGUAAUACGUAAGGUCCGAGCGUUGUCCGGAAUCAUUGGGCGUAAAGGGUACGUAGGCGGAUAAGCAAGUUAGAAGUGAAAUCCUAUAGCUCAACUAUAGUAAGCUUUUAAAACUGCUCAUCUUGAGGUAGGGAAGGGAAAGUGGAAUUCCUAGUGUAGCGGUGAAAUGCGCAGAUAUUAGGAGGAAUACUGGUGGCGAAGGCGACUUUCUGGCCAUAAACUGACGCUGAGGUACGAAAGCGUGGGUAGCAAACAGG
rnacentral:rRNA from 1 species